rnacentral:rRNA from 1 species
UUGAUCCUGGCUCAGAUUGAACGCUGGCGGCAGGCCUAACACAUGCAAGUCGAGCGGUAAGAGAGCUUGCUCUCUACGAGCGGCGGACGGGUGAGUAAUGUCUGGGAAACUGCCUGAUGGAGGGGGAUAACUACUGGAAACGGUAGCUAAUACCGCAUAACGUCUUCGGACCAAAGUGGUUCGUCACGCCAUCAGAUGUGCCCAGAUGGGAUUAGCUAGUAGGUGGGGUAAUGGCUCACCUAGGCGACGAUCCCUAGCUGGUCUGAGAGGAUGACCAGCCACACUGGAACUGAGACACGGUCCAGACUCCUACGGGAGGCAGCAGUGGGGAAUAUUGCACAAUGGGCGCAAGCCUGAUGCAGCCAUGCCGCGUGUGUGAAGAAGGCCUUCGGGUUGUAAAGCACUUUCAGCGAGGAGGAAGGGUUCAGUGUAAUCACUGUUCUUGACGUUACUCGCAGAAGAAGCACCGGCUAACUCCGUGCCAGCAGCCGCGGUAAUACGGAGGGUGCAAGCGUUAAUCGGAAUUACUGGGCGUAAAGCGCACGCAGGCGGUUUGUUAAGUCAGAUGUGAAAUCCCCGCGCUUAACGUGGGAACUGCAUUUGAAACUGGCAAGCUAGAGUCUUGUAGAGGGGGGUAGAAUUCCAGGUGUAGCGGUGAAAUGCGUAGAGAUCUGGAGGAAUACCGGUGGCGAANGCGGCCCCCUGGACAAGACUGACGCUCAGGUGCGAAAGCGUG